rnacentral:tRNA from 1 species
AGGUCUAUGGCUUAAGGGUAGAGUGUUGGUUUCCAAAACCACAGGUGAGGGUUCGAAUCCUUCUAGACCUG